GGCCCGCUGGCCAAAUGGUAAGGCAUCUGAUUUCGGAACAAGUUCUCAGAAGAUUGUGCGUUCGAGCCGCACGUGGGUCG